CUCCCGCGCUAAGAAAUCUCCGCCGCAUUAUUUUACCCGGGCAAAAACAAUUUAUAGAAAAUGGAGAAACCACAAGUUGAAAAUGGGAAAGAAACCGUGAGCCACGUUCAUCGUUAACCUCCGCCCACAACUCUGUGCGCAUCGCCAAAUCCCUGGCUGACCAUACUCCCCUCCAUGCCACCUCCCCCAUUACCCCGCGCCGUCUCUUCCCCAAUCCUCCGCAGCGCCUCCUUGCUUCGCAAAUCCCCCGCCGCACCAGAUUUCGCAGAUGACAGCGACUGGCGUGUGGGUCGUCCGAGGUGGCCAGCGGAGGGCACCUUCGUUGUGCCGCAAGUGACUACCGGUCUACGCGGGUCGGUGCGUGCAGGAGGACAGGGUCCUCAGAAUGGUGACAAACAAUAGGGAAGGAGACGAAGGUAGUGGAGCCGUAGGACGAUGGUGCUGGGCAACGACCAAAGUGUACCCUUUCCCUCCUAUGCCUUCGCCACGGCCACAGUAUUCAAACACCUCAGGUGUGUAUGCGUCUUCCAUUGCUUUGUACCCAUGAAACGGAAUUUCAACAGUAAUCUUCUCUGGAUCUGGCCAUCAAGGGCAUUGCGUGCCGACCCUUCUAACUCAAUUUUCAGAGUCCAAGUAAACUGCAUCUUCGUUAUGCCAAUUUCUGUAAUAUUUCCUCUUCUCAUAUAAAAUCUGAAAAUAAUAUGUUGUAGCUUAUGGCCUGAUUAAAAUAAUUGCUACAGAUUGACUUCGGUGGGCAAAAAAAUAAAAUACUCUCGUUGCUAAAGAUUUACUAAUAUGCAUGUUCACGAGGUUGACAUACUUCAGUUUGGAUGCAUAAAUCUCAUUGCUGUUUAACUUCACCAACGGUUGGUCAUUUUAUAUACGGCCUUUAUUGUCUCCAUAGCAGUCGGCCAAAUAAUAACUAUUGCAAUAGUUAGGAUGUGAAGUGAUUUUGUUAGCAGUGAAUGCUGAUUACUAAUAUUAUGGUUUCCUAUUAUUUAGGUCCUUGAAAUGGACACCUACAGGCUUGUUUUCGUGUUGCGGUUCUUGUUGAUACUCGGUCGGCGGUGAGGCAAUCCUGGGCUUCUCCCGCAUCAUGAGGAAUCCUGGGGCAGCGGCUCCGGGUAUGGUGGUGGUGUCCGUCUCCUUCCGUCAGAGGCGGUCGGCCAGAUUAUCUCCUGAUCCCACAUCUGGUCCUAGCAGCGAGUUUGAAGAUGCGUGGCUGCCGGUGAAAACCGUGCUCCGACCCCGGUCAUGGCGGGCGAUGGCGACGUCACAUGUCGUAACCUUCUUAAAGGCACUGUCGUCGCAUUUUGCGUCUUCUCAAUCUUGCUGCUCCGGGGGAAACCCUAGAUCUGGGUCUCCUAGAUCGGACGAUGGCGACGCUAUCUGCGCCGUUCUACCUCUCGUGGCAUCGUUUUUGGAGCAGCUGCUGGACGGUGGUGGGUUGCAGUGGUGUGGUGUUCAUCUACCGUAUCAUGGUUGGCGAGUCGCGGCGGUGUUUCGGUGAUGGAUGCGGGAUGAUGGACGCGCGCACGAUGGAUGUGCUAUCCGGCUUCUUGGUGGCGGGCCUAGCAAAGGUCAAUGCGUUCAUCACCCUUGGAGAUGGGUUUGAGGAAGACGGCGGUAGCGAUUUCUACAGUGUGUGUGCUGGCGUGCGCCGAGAGUCCGCUUUGACUGGUUGUGCUUCUCACCUGCCAAUGGGCGGCUUCGGAAGUCAUUUGGUUUUUAGAUGACGUGUGUUGUUAUAAUGACAGAUCUUAUUUUUCAGGAUCGCUUGCUAGAAGAUUGACACCCAAAUUGUUGGCGUUUGUUUGUCUUGAUGUCUACCUUUUGUGCUUGUGAAAAGGACCACUUCCUAAUUGGAGAUGAGACUGAUCGCAUCAUAGAACCCUGGCGACGUACGAAAAGCCUCACAUCUUCUUGACAAUGAACUGCAACCCAAACUAGCAAGAGAUCCAGGACAAACCCUGCAACACCAACCAGAUCGUGUGGCUUAUGUUCAGGUCGAAAAUGGGGAUGGUGAAAGAGAUGCUAAUGAAGAAGCAUGUUUCGGGUGUUCUAAAGGCUGAUGUCUAUAUAUGUGGUAGAGAUCCAGGAGAGGGGCCUCCCCCAUGCUCAUUUCAUAUUGAUGUAGCUGGACCACAUUUGAGCAACGUUCUCGAUGAUCAUUGGUCUUUGAAAAUGUAAUGUGUGCCAACAGAUUUGUGACAUAUAUAUAUGUGCAUUUGGAAUUUUGAAUUA